rnacentral:lncRNA from 1 species
GCACAAUUUGACUAAAAAACAUGAAAAACAUGUCCUCCACAUGCCCUUAGACGUAGGAGGCCCUGCGUUUGAGAUCCCAUUCACCGCCUUUUGGCACAAGUGCCUAUCAUGUAGCAAGAGGUGCGGCAAGUCAAGUUUGUGCAUCCUCAUCCUACUUCGCAUGAAUUGGUCAACAUCAUGUUAUUUGGUCAUCUAUUUGGAAUGCCAGGGUGCCAGGAAAGGUGCGCCACUUUUGGUGGAGAGUUUGCUCAAAUAUCCUCCGUACAAAAGACAAUUUUCUUAAGAAACAUGUGCAGGUGGACAACGACUGUUUUUUCUCCAACUCCUACUCGGAAUCAUCGCUCCAUGUGCUUAGAUAUUGUCCGUUUGCAAAGAGUGUGUGGUUGCAGCCACCGAACAGCUAGCACGAAGGAAUGGGUUCAUGCAUGCUCGGAAUCUCUCGCAAGUUCGCAACCCAUGUUUUUGAAAUCUUUCUUAUGACAUGUUGGGCUACAUGGGAAGCUCGAAAUGGAUGGUUGUGGAAUGAUCAACGUAUACAACCUCAGGAAGUUAGUGCAUAGAUGGACCAAACCUAAUAUUGGCUGUCUAAAGAUGAAUGUUGACGGCGCCUGGCAGCCGGGGAGUAGUGAGGGCGGCAUAGGCAUUGUUGUUUGCAAUGAAGAUGGCGCCGGAAGGAGUGUUAUUGGCGGAGCAAAGGGGUUUGCGUAAUAUUUCUUUUGAGAGUGAUCUCUCUAGAUUGUUUCAGCUAUUCAAAGUACAUUCAUUGACAGAUCUUUACUUGGGCCUGUUGUGGAGGAUACCAAGAACUUGUUGGUGCAGAUCAUUUGGAGAUGGUUUUACCCACAUCCGUCGCACUGCCAACUCUGUUGCUCGCCGUAUAGCGCGCUUUGCUUUUCAUAUUGGGACCUCGCUAACUUGAUUUGAGGAGACCCCAGAUUUUAUUUCAGAUACAUUGUUUGAGGAUUGUAACUUGUAGUUUUUACUGGUACGUUUCUAGGGGACGGGGGGUCGCUCUUCGGAGGCAAGGUUCCUUCUCCUGUGUGAGGUUUAGAGGGUAGGCUAUGUAGUAGCCGAUGA